CAGAAAAUGACAGUUUUGAAGCCCCCAGUAUCUGCCAUCCAAACCCCCGUCAAAGCAGAAGCACCGAAAUUCCCCUUUGAAGAUCUUUCGCAUUCAAGCAGUGCCCAACCAACAGUUCCACGU